CAUAAUGUAGCUUAACUUAAAGCCCUUCGAUUACACCGAAUAGAUAUCUGUUUAACUCAGAUCAUUUUGA
rnacentral:tRNA from 1 species